rnacentral:rRNA from 1 species
GGACUACCGGGGUUUCUAAUCCUGUUUGCUCCCCUUGCUCUCGCGCCUCAGCGUCAGGAAAUAGCUAGAAAGCCGCUUUCGCCACCGGUGUUCUUCCACAUAUCUACGCAUUUCACCGCUACACGUGGAAUUCCGCUUUCUCCGCCAUCCCUCUUAGAUCUGUAGUUUCAAAUGCAGCUCCAAAGUUGAGCUUUGGAAUUUCACAUCUGACUUACUUAUCCGCCUACGCGCCCUUUACGCCCAAUAAUUCCGAUUAAUGCUUGCACCCUACGUAUUACCGCGGCUGCUGGCAC